rnacentral:rRNA from 1 species
UUGAACGCUGGCGGCAGGCCUAACCCAUGCAAGUCGCGCGGGGACUUCGGUCCUAGCGGCGAACGGGUGAGUAAUGCUUGGGAAUCUGCCCAGUAGUGGGGGAUAACGUCCCGAAAGGGACGCUAAUACCGCAUACGUCCUACGGGAGAAAGAGGGGGAUCUUCGGACCUCUCGCUAUUGGAUGAGCCCAAGUCGGAUUAGCUAGUUGGUAGGGUAAUGGCCUACCAAGGCGACGAUCCGUAGCUGGUCUGAGAGGAUGAUCAGCCACACUGGAACUGAGACACGGUCCAGACUCCUACGGGAGGCAGCAGUGGGGAAUAUUGGACAAUGGGCGAAAGCCUGAUCCAGCCAUGCCGCGUGUGUGAAGAAGGCCUUCGGGUUGUAAAGCACUUUAAGCGGGGAGGAAGGUUCGCGGCCUAAUACGUUGCGGAAUUGACGUUACCCGCAGAAUAAGCACCGGCUAACUCUGUG